GUUGUAACGUCUGCAUAGUUCUCAUCUAUGGCUGGUAGCAGUGUCUGUGUUUUGCGUGAAGAUCUUGCUAUCCACACAAACGUCAUGCAGCCCAAGAGAAGCUUGGGAUCUUAGGACUGGUCUAGUGUUGUCUCUUAAGACGUAUCUACCACUGGCCAGCCUCCAGAUUCCCUCACACAG
ensembl:snoRNA